CAGGGUCUCGGCGGUGUGGAGGAACAGACGGGUAUCGGGGUCCACGUCAGCAGAUCCCUCAAAGUUGCUGCGCAAGCUGAUGGGGUGGUUAAAAAGGCGUAUGGCGUGCUGGCUUUCAUUAGUUGGGUGAUUGGGUUCGAGAGCCACGAGGCAGCCAGAAAACGAAGAAACCCAAUAGAGCCCAUGAAAGAAAAGAAGACCAUCAAACACCCAAGAUGCAGAAAAAAGAGCAAACCAGGCUUGGGAGAUGCCAUCAGAACAACUUUGGCAAAUUGCUGCACUGAAUUUCGUACCUGGUACACGAAGGAGCCAGAUAACGCCAGUGGCGGAGCGAAAGAGCGUUCAAAAUGGUGGAUGGGGUGUCGAUCAAGAACACUGCACUGUCCUUGAUGCCAAUUAGAUUCUUGAUGAUGCACUCAUUAA